CUGAUGCAGCACGCCGCGUGACGAUAGAGGUCUUCGGAUCGUAAAGUUCUGUUGCAUGGGAAGAUAAUGACGGUAUCCCUAGUGAGGAAGCCCCGGCUAACUACGUGCCAGCAGCCGCGGUAAUACGUAUGGGGCUAGCGUUAUCCGGAUUUACUGGGCGUAAAGGGUGCGUAGGUGGUCCUUCAAGUCGGUGGUUAAAGGCUGCGGCUCAACCUUAUUAAGCCGCCGAAACUGGAGGACUUGAGUGCAGGAGAGGAAAGUGGAAUUCCCAGUGUAGCGGUGAAAUGCGUAGAUAUUGGGAGGAACACCGGUGGCGAAGGCGACUUUCUGGACUGUUACUGACACUGAGGCACGAAAGCGUGGGUAGCAAACA
rnacentral:rRNA from 1 species